rnacentral:tRNA from 1 species
AUGUACCUCAAUGGUAGAGUAAUUGCCUAGCAUGUAUGAAGCCCUGGGUUCAAUCCCCAGCAU